UACGGGGGGGGCAAGCGUUGUUCGGAAUUACUGGGCGUAAAGGGCUCGUAGGUGGCCAACUAAGUCAUACGUGAAAUCCCUCGGCUUAACCGGGGAACUGCGUCUGAUACUGGAUGGCUUGAAUCCGGGAGAGGGAUGCGGAAUUCCAGGUGUAGCGGUGAAAUGCGUAGAUAUCUGGAGGAACACCGGUGGCGAAGGCGGCAUCCUGGACCGGCAUUGACGCUGAGGAGCGAAAGCCAGGGGAGCAAACGGG
rnacentral:rRNA from 1 species